rnacentral:rRNA from 1 species
AUUGAACGCUGGCGGCAGGCCUAACACAUGCAAGUCGAGCGAGCGGCGGACGGGUGAGUACUGUCUGGGCAACUGCUUGAUGGAGGGGGAUCACUACUGGACACGGUAGAUAAGACCGCGUACCAUCAGGUGUGCCCCGAUGGGAUUAGCUAGUAGGUGGGGUAACGGCUCCACUGGGCGACGAUCCCUAGCUGGUCUGAGAGGAUGACCAGCCACACUGGAACUGAGACACGGUCCAGACCCCUACGGUAGGCAGCAGUGGGGAAUAUUGCACAAUGGGCGCAAGCCUGAUGCAGCCAUGCCGCGGGUGUGAAGAAGGCCUUCGGGUUGUAAAGCACUUUCAGCGGGGAGGCGUUACCCGCAGAAGAAGCACCGGCUAACUCCGGGCCAGCAGCCGCGGUAAUUC